GAGUAACACGUAUCCAACCUGCCGUCUACUCUGGGACAGCCUUCUGAAAGGAAGAUUAAUACAAGAUGGCAUCAUGAGUUCACAUGUUCACAUGAUUAAAGGUAUUCCGGUAGACGAUGGGGAUGCGUUCCAUUAGAUAGUAGGCGGGGUAACGGCCCACCUAGUCUUCGAUGGAUAGGGGUUCUGAGAGGAAGGUCCCCCACAUUGGAACUGAGACACGGUCCAAACUCCUACGGGAGGCAGCAGUGAGGAAUAUUGGUCAAUGGGCGAGAGCCUGAACCAGCCAAGUAGCGUGAAGGAUGACUGCCCUAUGGGUUGUAAACUUCUUUUAUAAAGGAAUAAAGUCGGGUAUGCAUACCCGUUUGCAUGUACUUUAUGAAUAAGGAUCGGCUAACUCCGUGCCAGCAGCCGCGGUAAUACGGAGGAUCCGAGCGUUAUCCGGAUUUAUUGGGUUUAAAGGGAGCGUAGAUGGAUGUUUAAGUCAGUUGUGAAAGUUUGCGGCUCAACCGUAAAAUUGCAGUUGAUACUGGAUAUCUUGAGUGCAGUUGAGGCAGGCGGAAUUCGUGGUGUAGCGGUGAAAUGCUUAGAUAUCACGAAGAACUCCGAUUGCGAAGGCAGCCUGCUAAGCUGCAACUGACAUUGAGGCUCGAAAGUGUGGGUAUCAAACAGGAUUAGAUACCCUGGUAGUCCACACGGUAAACGAUGAAUACUCGCUGUUUGCGAUAUACAGCAAGCGGCCAAGCGAAAGCGUUAAGUAUUCCACCUGGGGAGUACGCCGGCAACGGUGAAACUCAAAGGAAUUGACGGGGGCCCGCACAAGCGGAGGAACAUGUGGUUUAAUUCGAUGAUACGCGAGGAACCUUACCCGGGCUUAAAUUGCAGAUGAAUUACGGUGAAAGCCGUAAGCCGCAAGGCAUCUGUGAAGGUGCUGCAUGGUUGUCGUCAGCUCGUGCCGUGAGGUGUCGGCUUAAGUGCCAUAACGAGCGCAACCCUUGUUGUCAGUUACUAACAGGUUCUGCUGAGGACUCUGACAAGACUGCCAUCGUAAGAUGUGAGGAAGGUGGGGAUGACGUCAAAUCAGCACGGCCCUUACGUCCGGGGCUACACACGUGUUACAAUGGGGGGUACAGAGGGCCGCUACCACGCGAGUGGAUGCCAAUCCCCAAAACCUCUCUCAGUUCGGACUGGAGUCUGCAACCCGACUCCACGAAGCUGGAUUCGCUAGUAAUCGCGCAUCAGCCACGGCGCGGUGAAUACGUUCCCGGGCCUUGUACACACCGCCCGUA
rnacentral:rRNA from 1 species